rnacentral:rRNA from 1 species
GACGAACCACACGAACGUUAUUCGGAAUCACUGGGCUUAAAGGGUGCGUAGGCUGCGCAGUAAGUUGGGUGUGAAAUACCUCGGCUCAACCGAGGAACUGCGCCCAAAACUACUGUGCUCGAGGGAGACAGAGGUGAGCGGAACUUAGGGUGGAGCGGUGAAAUGCGUUGAUAUCCUAAGGAACACCCGUGGCGAAAGCGGCUCACUGGGUCUCUUCUGACGCUGAGGCACGAAAGCUAGGGUAGCGAACGGG